GUAGGUGGCAAGCGUUGUCCGGAAUUAUUGGGCGUAAAGCGCGCGCAGGCGGUUCUUUAAGCCUGAUGUGAAAGCCCACGGCUCAACCGUGGAGGGUCAUUGGAAACUGGAGAACUUGAGUACAGAAGAGGAAAGCGGAAUUCCACGUGUAGCGGUGAAAUGUGUAGAGAUGUGGAGGAACACCAGUGGCGAAGGCGGCUUUCUGGUCUGUAACUGACGCUGAGGCGCGAAAGCGUGGGGAGCAAACAGGGAUUAGAUACCCUGGUAGUCCACGCCGUAAACGAUGAGUGCUAAGUGUUAGGGGGUUUCCGCCCCCCUUAGUGCUGCAGCUAACGCAUUAAGCACUCCGCCUGGGGAGUACGGCCGCAAGGCUG
rnacentral:rRNA from 1 species